rnacentral:rRNA from 1 species
GACGUAGGGCGCAAGCGUUGUCCGGAUUUAUUGGGCGUAAAGAGCUCGUAGGCGGUUUGUUGCGUCGGCCGUGAAAACCUGCAGCUUAACUGUGGGCCUGCGGUCGAUACGGGCAGACUUGAGUUCGGUAGGGGAGACUGGAAUUCCUGGUGUAGCGGUGAAAUGCGCAGAUAUCAGGAGGAACACCGGUGGCGAAGGCGGGUCUCUGGGCCGAUACUGACGCUGAGGAGCGAAAGCGUGGGGAGCGAACAGG